rnacentral:ncRNA from 1 species
CCAUCGAGUAGAAGCGGUUAGCGCCGAUGCGCCUCCCCCAGCGGGCAGGCGCAUGCCGGCGCGGGACAUUGCUCUCGCG